rnacentral:sRNA from 1 species
GCCAGGUGUGGUGGCACAGGCCUGUAAUCCCAGUGGCUCUGGAGGCUGAGGCAGGAGGAUCGCAAAUUCAAAGCCAGCCUCAGCAAUGACGAGGCACUAAGCAACUCAGUGAGACCCUGUCUCUA